GUUAUUCUGAUGUUCGUGAGAUUCUUCAGUAAUCCCUGUCCUAAGCACUACAAUUGAUAACUCCAAGGAGGAUGCAAAACCGGGAACUCAACAUCGCAAGCUCCUGAGCUAUGAAUCUUCUAUGUUCCAAGCAAGUCUUGGAGUUGAGGACCUUUAAAUGACGGAACUAAGGCUUCAUCUUCUAGGGUUAAGAAAAACUGCGCGAAACCCCCUUUUCCUCCUCCUUGUUGAUUGAGUGGCCGGAAAAACCCAGAUCGAGUCGUGAACAAAUCCCCAAAUCAAUGUUGUAAACUCAGAGAUCGAAGAACCCACAUCUUUAGUUGAUUGUAUUGAUGAACCUUCUCCUUCUUCCCGAUUCGCAGAAUACUCCUUCAUAAAAGGACUUGAGUGAUGGCUGAGUCGAGAGCGAAGAACCCUAAUUUCAAGCUAAGAAGUGACGGCUUUUGAGUGAUGACUUGUGCUUUGGAGAGAGAAGAAGACUGAUGAAGAAAUUGUGUGGGAAAUAAAUGGAGAGGGAGACAAAAGUCGAUAGCCCGAACCUAAUUAAGUU
rnacentral:lncRNA from 1 species